CACACACUCACAGACACAUACUCACACACUCACAGACACACACUGACACACUCACACACUCACUGACACACACACUCACAGACACACACUGACACACUCACAGACACGCACACUCACAGACACACACACACACACACACUCACUGACACACACUCACAGACACACACUGACACAUACUCACACACUCACAGACACACACACACACAC